rnacentral:rRNA from 1 species
GAUGAACGCUGACAGAAUGCUUAACACAUCAGCAAUUGAUUGGUGGCGUACGGGUGAGUAACGCGUAAAGAACUUGCCUCACAGCUAGGGACAACAUUUAGAAAUGAAUGCUAAUACCUGAUACUGUGAGAGAGGUUUGGGUCCCAUUAGCUAGUUGGAUAGGUAACAGCUCACCAAGGCGAUGAUGGGUAGCCGGCCUGAGAGGGUGAACGGCCAAAAGUGGGCUGAGACGCAGCCCUUACUCCUACGGGAGGCAGCAGUGAAGAAUAUUGGACAAAGGACCGAAGUCUGAUCCAGCAAUUCUGUGUGCAAGAUGAAGUUUUCGGAAUGUAAAGUGCUUUCAGUUAGGAAGCGGUACCAACAGAAGAAGUGACGGCUAAAUACGUGCCAGCAGCCGCGGUAAUAC